rnacentral:rRNA from 1 species
UACAGAGGUCCCAAGCGUUGUUCGGAUUCACCGGGCGUAAAGGGCGCGUAGGUGGCGACCCAAGUCCGUGGUGAAAGCUCGUCGCUUAACGACGAGUCGGCCACGGAGACUGGGUGGCUCGAGCACUGUAGGGGCAGAUGGAAUUCCGGGUGUAGCGGUGGAAUGCGUAGAGAUCCGGAAGAACACCAGUGGCGAAGGCGGUCUGCUGGGCAGUUGCUGACACUGAGGCGCGACAGCGUGGGGAGCAAACAGG